UACAGAGGUGGCAAGCGUUGUCCGGAAUCAUUGGGCGUAAAGAGCGUGUAGGCGGUCCGGUAAGUCGGCUGUGAAAGUCCAGGGCUCAACCCUGGGAUGCCGGUCGAUACUGCCGGACUAGAGUUCGGAAGAGGCGAGUGGAAUUCCCGGUGUAGCGGUGAAAUGCGCAGAUAUCGGGAGGAACACCUAUGGCGAAGGCAGCUCGCUGGGACGUUACUGACGCUGAGACGCGAAAGCGUGGGGAGCAAACAGG
rnacentral:rRNA from 1 species